UGGGGAUAUAGUGGUAGAACAUUUGCCUAGCAUGUGCAAGGUACUGGGUUUAAUCCCCAGCACCAGGUUGUUUUUUGAGGGUUUGUUGUUGUUGUUGUUGUUAUUUUGCUGCUGUGACUAAAAGACCUAAUUAGAACAAUUUUAGGGGAGGAAAAGUUUAUUUUGAGGCUCAUGGUUUCAGAGGUCUCAAUCAAUAGAAGUCCGGCUCCACUCCUCAGGGCUCAAGGUGAGGCACAACAUCAUGGUGGAAAACAGUGGAGGGAAGAAACUCACAUGAAGAUCAGAGAGCAGAAAGAGUGAUUCCACUUGCCUGACACAAAUAUAUAUCCCAAAGGCAGGCCCCUGAUUACCUACCUCUCCCAGCCACACCCUACCUGCCUUUAGUUACCACUCAACUAAUCCUGUCAGGGAAUUAAUUCACUGUUGGGUCAAGGCCCUCACAACCCAAUCAUUUCUCCUCUAAAUCUUCUUGCAUUGUCUCACAAGGUCAACAUACAAAUAUAAAUUGCAUUUCUAUUCACUAGGGAUGAACAACUGGAGCUCAAUAACUUGUUGUAACUAUGAUUUUCAAUACGCUGUCCAUGAAAUACUCGGAGAAUAUAUCCUUAGAUACAAAUCCAAGAAAAUAUAUGCACAAUCUAUAUACUAAAAUUCAAAAUAACCUAAAAUUCUGAAGAAAAACAUCAAAGAAAACCCAAAUAAAUAGAAGACAAACCCUGUGAAUUAAAGGACUCUGUAUACAUAAAACAUCAAUUCAAGUCCUACCCAUGGAUGGGAAGGCUCUAUAUAGUUAAGAUUAUCACUUUUUCCCAAAUUGAUCCAUGCAAUCACAGACAAAAUACCAUCAAAUUCUCCAGAGAUACAGAAAAAGGAAUUCUAAAAUAUAUGUAUAAAUGUAAAGAAACAAGAGUAGAUAAUUCUUUAAAGAAGAACCAAUUUUGAGGACUCACACUGUCUGAUAUUGAGAUAUGAUAUAAAACUUCAGUAAACCUGACAGUGUGAUAUUAGUGACAUGUAGACCAACAAAACAGAACAAAAAGUUCAUAAAUAGACACACAAAUGUGGUCAAUUGAUUUUUAACAAAGAUACAAAGGUAAUUCAAUAAAGUAAGUUAGGUGUUUUUCAACAAAUGGUGCUGGAACAACAGAACAUCCAUAUGAGUAAAUAUGAACCUGGCCCGUACACUUCAUACCAUAUAGAAAAAUUAAUUCAAAAUGGAACAUAGAUAUCAAUAUAAAAGUAAAACCCUAAAAUUCAAAGAAGAAAAUACAGGAGAAAAUCUUGUAACCCUUAGUUAGCCAAUUAGUUCUUUGAUGUGAUACCAAAAGCUCAUCCAUUUAAAAAAAAAUGGUAAGCUGAAUUUCACAGAAUUAAAACACUGCUAUUCUGAAUUUGCAGGGAAAUGGAUGGCACUAGAGCAGAUUAUGCUUAGUGAAGCUAGCCAAUCCCUAAAAAACAAAUACCAAAUGUCUUCUUUGAU
rnacentral:lncRNA from 1 species